rfam:Triticum urartu cultivar G1812 contig1005739, whole genome shotgun sequence.
AUGUUACUCCCUCCGUCCCAAAUUAUUUGUCACAGAAAUGGAUAUAUCUAUAACUAAAAUACAUUUAGAUACAUCCAUUUCUGCGACAGGUAAUUCUGAACGGAGGGAGUACAAU